rnacentral:lncRNA from 1 species
GUCCCAGAAGCCAGGUGGCCAGCCAAGGCAAGGGAGGAAGAAACCCCAGCUCCAGGGGCUCAGCAGGCAAAGGGAAUCACUGAGUGGGGGCACCACCCGUGGACUCCAAUAUCUCAACCUCUCCCUCCACAGGUUGGAGGUGGGAGGAACAACCCCCACCAAACCCAGAGCCGAAAACUGAGGGAGUUUUACAGACAGGACGGAGCUCCUGCACCUCGGAGCCUCAGUUGGGAAUGACCUGGGGUCUUGUCCUGAAGCUGAGUCUGGUGAACGUGCCCCAUUUGUAACAUGAGGGGUACUUCUCUGGAGGGACUGUAUGUUGACAGUGGCAGAGUGGAGCCCUGAAGUCCACCUGAGUGAAUAUACCAGGGCUUGAGA